CCCAUUCACGUUUCAGGGCCUGAAGAACCAGCCCCGGGUGAAGCUGAACAUUGUGAGGUGUCCUCCAGUGACCACCGUGUUGAUCAGGAGACCGGACCUGCGCUACCAGCUGGGUUUCAGCGUCCAGAACGGAAUCAUCUGCAGCCUCAUGCGAGGGGGGAUAGCAGAGAGAGGUGGCGUCCGCGUGGGACACCGGAUCAUUGAGAUCAACGGGCAGAGUGUGGUGGCCACCCCACACGAGAAGAUCGUCCACAUCCUCUCCAAUGCGGUGGGGGAGAUCCACAUGAAGACGAUGCCGGCGGCCAUGUACAGACUGCUGACGGCCCAGGAGCAGCCCGUUUACAUCUGAGGCCGCGCGCCCGCCUGGCCGCUUGCAUGGAGGCCUGUCCUCACUCGUGGUGUGUUUCUCGUGCUGCAUCUGUGUGCCCACCGAGACCCUUCCCUCUCACGCCCAGCACCGGUUCUCCACCGAAGAGAAGAAGCCGCAGACCUCUUUGCUCUCUCUCUCUCCAGUUUGCAGGGUUUUUUUCUUUUGUUUUUUUUUUUUUUUUUUAACGCCAGGGACAUUUUGUCUGCGCUCGCUUGAGGAUGGAGAGCAGCCGCCAGCCCCCGGGUCCCGGCCCAGGCCGGCACCAUCCCGAAGGGCCCUCGGGGGUCCCCAGGGGGGCCAUCACUGCUCAAGGGCAGUGAGUCCGGCCGCAGCUCCCGGCGCUCCGUCGGGCCAACAGCAGGCACCAGCUGCGUCUUUAAGGGGUUGCCCUGCCCACCGGGGACCAGGGGCGCCACACAGCUCUGCCCAGAAUUUCUGAGCCAACCUUAGGCCUCUUCUAGAGCUAGUUUUAGUUUCCACAUCGUUUUUUUUAACGUGAGCCUUCUCACCCAAGGGUCGACAGGGAGCUGCCUGGGACCAGGGCACCAUCUCAUUGCAGAGAGCUCAGCGGUUCCUGGGGCGGCCUCGGCCUCCCUGGUCGUCCCGAGGUUACCAGCCAUCAGAUAGACACAGCAGGGACUCCGGUCCCCCUUCUCUGCCGCACACGAUCACCCUCGCUGCCUCCCACCACCAGUGAGGCACACAGAGCCCCUGGAAAGCCCACACCGCCACUCUGUGAGGCCCCUGCCCCUGGCCGGUGGGGCCUGCAGGGGCUGCGUGGCCCUGUCCUGAGAGAGACGCCCCCUCCGGGGCUGAGGCCUGGCUCUGCCGGCUCGGCCUUGGUUCAGAGAGCACUAGUGGGCUCCCCCGAGCCCCCACUCCUCACCCGCGCGGGGAGUCUGGGAAGGAUGGACUGCUCCCCUGGAGGAAGAGCGCCUGGGUGCCCAAGGCAGGACCAGCUUUCUCCUCUGCUCAGGGCUGAGGCAGCACAUGACAUUUGAAAGUCCAGCAUAGUAAUAAACCACAAAACUAAGGGGACAGGAGUGACCCCACACUAUGCCUAAGAAUCCCCAAGUGUGUUCUAGAAACAUCAUCUCGCUGCCUCGUGGGUCUGAGAGAGCUUUGAGUGUUCCCAUCAGGUGCCUCAUUUCGUGGGUUCUGUCUCGGUUCAGUGCGGGUGUUUCCGUGAUAUUAUUCUGAGCCAGUUUUCACUUAUUCUUGUCCAAAGAGCAUUUUGUUUUCAUGUAGGUGGGUGUGGGUCGGUUUGAUUUUCGUUUUGUUUCGUUCAUGACCCCAGCAGAGACGGGGGAAGAGAAACUAAUAUAUUUUGUGAUAUUAAUAGAGUCCCUGUUCUCUGCACCGGGGAUAUUUAUGUUGUGUCUGUGGAAAUAGGAAUUCGGUGAGCACAUGUUGGCUAGUAUGUAUUUAUAUGUCAAAUGGAGGGAUUUCGGGGAGGGAGGAAAGGGAGUAUAAAAAAACAGGAACAAAAGACCGCCCCCCAAGUGCCGAGUGGGCAGUUGCCCUGGGAUUUCUGUACCUCCUGUUUUCUGCUGAAAGGAGAGCUAAAUGUUCCAAGGGUGUCAGUAGCUGACCCUUCAGUUUGACGAUAGUACAAGCCCUAAGGAAGAUGGGUCACUGCUGCCCGAACAUCCUCUCUGGGAAGGGGCUGCCCCCUCUCCAGGGGUGCUGGGGUGGACGGUCCAGGACUCCUGGACUUUCUGAGGAUGCUCAGCCCCAACGGCCGGCUCACCACACCUGUGAGCAGCCAGAAUCAUGGCUCCAGAUUCUAUUAAGUCCUGAAGAGUCAUGCAUUGGUCCUUCCUCUGCCAAAAAGAGUGGGUAAAAUAGGAACAAAGCAUUAUUGGUAUUUUAGGCACCAGGAGCCUUGGCAAAUCAUGGAGGGGCUCAGGCCUGUCUGUCUGCUGCCAGAGCACCUGGACAGAGGCCUGUCCACGAUGGGCCGGCAGAUGGGGACCCCUCCCCAGCUCAGCACUGUGCAGCCUCCCCAUAAUUACAAGUAAGUAUCUUCACCCAAAGGAGAGAGGAGAGCAAGCAUCGAUUCUGUUGCUAUCGCACAAAAAUCCUGGAACAUUUGGCAACGUUUGCCAGAGAAGCCAAUCUGGUGAGCUCUCCGGGAAGACCAACAUAUUUUAGCCUAAGAGGAAGGUUCUUUAUCCACCGCUCACCUUCUUCAGUCCAAGCGGCUCCUUACACCCCGAUAGCUCAUGUUCCUGGAGCUCGGUCCGGGUUUGGCUGACUGGAGUCCGUUCCUUCCCCUGCUCCCAUCGGAUGGAGGGGCCUCACCCACCUUUGGUUAACCAAGGAGGCGGGGCCUUAAGUGUCAGUAACUCGGUUUGGGAAAAUCCCGUGGGACGAGGUGGUCACUUUCUUUCUGGCAUCCCAAUAUAUAUAGUUAUAUAUGUAAAUACCUGAACACCCCCAUCUCACGGGGAAGACUGUACAGAGCAGCCUUCCCAAACAGGGCCCAGGCAAAAAGCCACUCUUGCUGCUUGGCUGGGACAUGCUGGUGACUCAGCUUUGGGGACAGAUUCUCAGAUUCGUCUGCCCCUCCUGGUCCGGCCAGGAUGCACCAGAAAGCACCCUGUCUCUGCCUUCUCACCUGGGAGCAUUUCAGGGAGCCACCAUCAGCCUUGGGUUCGCGAGAGGAGAAAACCCCCAGAGACUGAGACCCGGCGUCCGCUCCCUCACCAGAGUGGGCCCCUCGGGGCCCCCUGAGCCUGCCGCGGGCCCCCUGCCCCCGAGCCCGCCACGGGGCACCGGACGCCAAGCCUCCAUGCACAGGUCUGCUGUCUGGACACUGCCCGUCCACACCGGCCUCAGAGAGUCCCAGAGUAACCUACUACCUCCCCCAUCGCUCCCGCCGCCCCCCAGGCCCCCAUUCGCACUCCACACCCCCAUCUGCACGCUGAGGAAACUCAUCCACGAGCCCCUCCUGGGUCCCUCGACCCAGUGGUGUGGCUCUUACCACUGUUUACAACCAAGGGCCACCUCCUUUCAGAUAUGUUUACUCUCCCACUGACACGGCCACUGGCUGGUUUGAGUUUCGCGUCCGUCGGCUCCUUCCCCGGUUCGGGCCAACUAGGGCACACGACCCGAUUCUUUGCCCCCCUCCAUCAAGGCAGUGCGUGCGUGAGGACCACGUGGGAAGGAAAUUUCUUGUACAUAGCACAGCCCCUGGAGUAUGAACUUGUACUAUUGUUCUGUAAAGAGGGUGAAAUAGAGCUUAUUGUAAAGCUUGGGACAAGUAGAGUAUUGUAUUUGUAACAAUAUCAUUCUUUGUAUACACAAAACUCAAUGAUCUCUAUAUAUAAAUAUAAAUUAUAUAAAUAAAAUAUAUACACACGUGAGCCUGGAAUGUUGGUGCCACACACCCACUGAAUGUACUUCCUCCGGCAGCCUGGUCCCUGGGCCCGGCCGCCCUCCCCUCCUCUGUACUGUUUUGGGGGUUGUGAUGUAUUCGGUGUGUUCUCUUCCUUUAUUUAACUGAACGCUAACGUCUGUAAGAGUUGCUGCAACAAUAAAUAAGAACUUCAUCUCUUG